rnacentral:rRNA from 1 species
UACGUAGGGUGCGAGCGUUAAUCGGAAUUACUGGGCGUAAAGAGUGCGUAGGCGGUUCUUUGUGUCCGCUGUGAAAGCCCCGGGCUUAACCUGGGAAUGGCAGUGGAAACUAGAGGACUUGAAUCCGGCAGAGGGGGAUGGAAUGCCACGUGUAGCAGUGAAAUGCGUAGAGAUGUGGCGGAACACCGAUGGCGAAGGCAGCCCCCUGGGCUGAGAUUGACGCUCAGGCACGAAAGCGUGGGGAGCAAACAGG